rnacentral:rRNA from 1 species
UACGUAGGCAGCAAGCGUUAUUCGGAUUCACUGGGCGUAAAGGGUGCGCAGGCGGCCGAGUGUGUGAGGCGUGAAAGCCCGGGGCUUAACCCCGGAAUUGCACCUCAAACUACACGGCUAGAGCAUUGGAGAGGGUAGCGGAAUUCACGGUGUAGCAGUGAAAUGCGUAGAUAUCGUGAGGAACACCAGAGGCGAAGGCGGCUACCUGGACAAUUGCUGACGCUCAGGCGCGACAGCGUGGGGAUCAAACAGG